CGGGAUAGCUCAGUUGGUAGAGCAGAGGACUGAAAAUCCUCGUGUCAC
rnacentral:tRNA from 2 species